AACGUAGGAGACAAACGUUAUCCGGAGUUACUGGGCGUAAAGGGCGUGUAGGUGGUUUUGUAAGUCUGGCGUGAAAUUUUUCGGCUUAACCGGGAAAGGUCGUCGGAUACUGCAGGACUAGAGGACGGUAGAGGCGUGUGGAAUUCCGGGUGUAGUGGUGAAAUGCGUAGAGAUCCGGAGGAACACCAGUGGCGAAGGCGACGCGCUGGGCCGACCCUGACGCUGAGGCGCGAAGGCGUGGGGAGCGAACGGG
rnacentral:rRNA from 1 species